rnacentral:rRNA from 1 species
UACGAAGGGGGCUAGCGUUGCUCGGAAUCACUGGGCGUAAAGGGUGCGUAGGCGGGUCUUAAGUCAGGGGUGAAAUCCUGGGGCUCAACCUCAGAAUUGCCUCCGAUACUGGCAGUCUCGAGUGCGGGAGAGGUGAGUGGAAUUCCCAGUGUAGAGGUGAAAUUCGUAGAUAUUGGGAAGAACACCAGUGGCGAAGGCGGCUCACUGGCCCGUAACUGACGCUGAGGUGCGAAAGCGUGGGGAGCAAACAGG